AGCAGUAGCCGCGGUAAUACGUAGGUGACGAGCGUUGUCCGGAAUUAUUGGGCGCAAAGGGAGCGCAGGCGGUUGGAAUAGUCUGAUGUGAAAGCCCACGGCUUAACCGUGGAAGGUCAUUGGAAACUGUCCAACUUGAAUGCAGAAGAGGAAAGUGGAAUUCCAUGUGUAGCGGUGAAAUGCGUAGAUAUAUGGAGGAACACCAGUGGCGAAGGCGACUUUCUGGUCUGUAAUUGACGCUGAGGCUCGAAAGCGUGGGUAGCGAACAGGAUUAGAUACCCGCGUAGUCCCUGUCUCUUAUAC
rnacentral:rRNA from 1 species